rnacentral:rRNA from 1 species
ACGUAGGGUGCAAGCGUUAAUCGGAAUUAUUGGGCGUAAAGCGCGCGCAGGCGGCUUGGUAAGUCAGAUGUGAAAUCCCAGGGCUUAACCCAGGAAGUGCAUUUGAUACUGCCUCGCUAGAGUACGGGAGAGGAAAGUGGAAUUCCUGGUGUAGAGGUGAAAUGCGUAGAUAUCAGGAGGAACACCGGUGGCGAAGGCGACUUUCUGGCAUGAUACUGACGCUCAGGCGCGAAAGCGUGGGGAGCAAACAG